rnacentral:rRNA from 1 species
AUACGUAGGUGGCGAGCGUUGUUCGGAUUUAUUGGGCGUAAAGGGUCCGCAGGGGGUUGAUUAAGUCUGAUGUGAAAUCCCUGAGCUUAACUCAGGAACUGCAUUGGAGACUGGUUGACUAGAGUAUUGGAGAGGUGAUUGGAAUUCCAGGUGUAGCGGUGGAAUGCGUAGAUAUCUGGAAGAACAUCGAAAGCGAAGGCAGAUCACUGGACAAUUACUGACCCUCAGGGACGAAAGCAUGGGGAGCAAACAGGAUUAGAUACCCUGGUAGUCCAUGCCCUAAACGUUGUCAACUUGAUGUGAGCGGAAUUACUCCCGUUCGUGUCGAAGCUAACGCGAUAAGUUGACCGCCUGGGAACUACGGCCGCAAGGCUAAA